rnacentral:rRNA from 1 species
GACGAACGCUGGCGGCGUGCUUAACACAUGCAAGUCGAACGGAAAGGCCCUGCUUUUGUGGGGUACUCGAGUGGCGAACGGGUGAGUAACACGUGAGUAACCUGCCCUUGACUUUGGGAUAACUUCAGGAAACUGGGGCUAAUAUCGGAUAGGAGCUCCUGCUGCAUGGUGGGGGUUGGAAAGUUUCGGCGGUUGGGGAUGGACUCGCGGCUUAUCAGCUUGUUGGUGGGGUAGUGGCUUACCAAGGCUUUGACGGGUAGCCGGCCUGAGAGGGUGACCGGCCACAUUGGGACUGAGAUACGGCCCAGACUCCUACGGGAGGCAGCAGUGGGGAAUAUUGCACAAUGGGCGGAAGCCUGAUGCAGCAACGCCGCGUGCGGGAUGACGGCCUUCGGGUUGUAAACCGUUUUCGCCUGUGACGAAGCGUGAGUGACGGUAAUGGGUAAAGAAGCACCGGCUAACUACGUG